AUUGAACGCUGGCGGCGUGCCUAAUACAUGCAAGUCGAACGGAGUGGCGCACGGGUGAGUAAUAUAUAGCUAAUCUGCCCCUUGCUGGAGGUAAACAGUGGGAAAUGACUGCUAAUACUCCAUAGGAAGGGAUGAGACUAUAUCGUAUCAGCUAGUCGGUGGGGUAACGGCCUACCGAGGCUAUGACGCGUAACUGGUCUGAGAGGAUGAUCAGUCACAUCGGAAGUGAGGAACGGUCCAAGCACCUAGCGGAGGGGGCAGUAGGGUGUUGUGCGCAAGGUGGGAAUCUCUGGACGGGCAUCGCGUUGUGGAGGAUGUUACUUUUGGGGGAAUGAGUUCCUUUUGUUACGGAAACGUUACCUAACGAAUAAGCACCGGCUAACUCCGUGCCAGCAGCCGCGGUAAUUC
rnacentral:rRNA from 1 species